GGGGUUGUGGCUCAGAGGUAGAGCACUCACCUAGCAUGUGCGAGGCCUUGAGUUCAAUCCACAGCACCACA
rnacentral:tRNA from 1 species